GAUCAGCAAGGAAUAUGAGCGCUUUUCCAAGUACAUGCCCAGCGUCAAGGUGUCUGUGUUCUUCGGUGGUCUCUCCAUCAAGAAGGAUGAAGAAGUGUUGAAGAAGAACUGUCCCCAUGUCGUGGUGGGGACCCCGGGCCGCAUCCUGGCGCUCGUGCGGAAUAGGAGCUUCAGCCUAAAGAAUGUGAAGCACUUUGUGCUGGACGAGUGUGACAAGAUGCUGGAGCAGCUGGGUGAGUCCUCUGCCCUUGCAGCCCCAGCUGAGAGUCAGUGACUAGGCGGGCCCCAUAGCAGGCGGAAGGCUCUUGAGUGGGUCACAUGGGCGGCCGGCAGGCGGGGCUCCUGUGGUGAUCUUAGGGAAAGCUGCUGCUGGCAGAGGGAUGUGCUGUUUCUGAGCCCGAGCCGAAUGGGACCACGGGGCCCAAGCAAGCCCCCGUCCCUCCUGGACGUAAAGGCAUGCGCACAUACCUCUGGGAGUAUGAGGCUUCUGCCACCUGUUGGGUUGGUUCCAGGCCCCGCCUGCCCUCAGUGAGCCCCGACAGGGCCGGUGGGAGAUGGGCUUGUGUCCUGGGA
rnacentral:sRNA from 1 species